rnacentral:rRNA from 1 species
UAUACGUUGCCUCGGCGGAUCAGCCCGCGCCCCGUAAAACGGGACGGCCCGCCCGAGGACCCCUAAACUCUGUUUUUAGUGGAACUUCUGAGUAAAACAAACAAAUAAAUCAAAACUUUCAACAACGGAUCUCUUGGUUCUGGCAUCGAUGAAGAACGCAGCAAAAUGCGAUAAGUAAUGUGAAUUGCAGAAUUCAGUGAAUCAUCGAAUCUUUGAACGCACAUUGCGCCCGCCAGUAUUCUGGCGGGCAUGCCUGUUCGAGCGUCAUUUCAACCCUCAAGCUCAGCUUGGUGUUGGGACUCGCGGUAACCCGCGUUCCCCAAAUCGAUUGGCGGUCACGUCGAGCUUCCAUAGCGUAGUAAUCAUACACCUCGUUACUGGUAAUCGUCGCGGCCACGCCGUAAAACCCCAACUUCUGAAUGUUGACCUCGGAUCAGGUAGGAAUACCCGCUGAACUUAAGCAUAU